GACGGACCGUCCGAACGUUAUUCGGAAUUACUGGGCUUAAAGGGUGCGUAGGCGGUGCGGAAAGUUGGGUGUGAAAUCCCUUGGCUUAACCAAGGAACUGCGCCCAAAACUACCGUGCUCGAGGAAGGUAGAGGUGAGCGGAACAUCGGGUGGAGCGGUGAAAUGCGUUGAUAUCCGAUGGAACACCGGCGGCGAAAGCGGCUCACUGGACCUUUUCUGACGCUGAGGCACGAAAGCCAGGGUAGCGAACGGG
rnacentral:rRNA from 1 species